rnacentral:rRNA from 1 species
GACGAACGCUGGCGGCGUGCUUAACACAUGCAAGUCGAACGGAAAGGCCCUGCUUGCAGGGUGCUCGAGUGGCGAACGGGUGAGUAACACGUGGGUGAUCUGCCCCUUACUUUGGGAUAAGCCUGGGAAACUGGGGCUAAUACUGGAUAGGUCCAUGCUGUAGGUGGUGUGGUGGAAAGAUUAGUUUCGGUUAGGGAUGAGCUCGCGGCCUAUCAGCUUGUUUGAGGGGUGUUGUGAUACCAAGGCGAACCGGGGGAGUCGGCCUUAGAGGGUGGACGGCCACAUAGGGACUGAGAGAAGGCCCAGGCUCCGACGGGAGACAGAAGUGGGGAAUAUUGCACAAGGGGCGCAAGGCUGAUGCAGCGACGCCGCGUGUGGGAUGACGGCCUUCGGGUUGUAGACUCCUGUCGGCCAUGACGAAGCCCUUGUGGGGACGGUAGUGGUAGAAGAAGCACCGGCUAACUACGG